UGCGUAGGCGGAAUAUUAAGUCAGUGGUGAAAUCCUGCGGCUCAACCGUAGAACUGCCAUUGAUACUGAUAUUCUUGAAUGUAGUUGAGGUAGGCGGAAUGUGUAAUGUAGCGGUGAAAUGCUUAGAUAUUACACAGAACACCGAUUGCGAAGGCAGCUUACUAAACUAUGAUUGACGCUGAGGCACGAAAGCGUGGUGAGCGAACAGGAUUAGAUACCCUGGUAGUCC
rnacentral:rRNA from 1 species